rnacentral:lncRNA from 1 species
ACGCAUCAGUGGAUGUGGUCUCGGUGGUGCUGCCGGGCGGAUGACGCCGCCUGGCACUAACAGGCUGCGCCACUGAUGACGCGGAUGAGGCAGGCCCCUGGGACCUCGCAGGUGCAACUGCCAAGUGGUCCAUUAGUGCCGGCGCAGUGGCAGCAGAUGCUGGAGCAGUGGCAGCAGAUGUCAGCUGAGUCGGGGGCGCCGUACUCUGCGUGGUCGUCACCGCCCUACGACGUGUAAUCAGGUUUGACAUCUGCACAUUUUCAUUAAUACACAUACAAAUUAAUAAAAUAUACGAAUAUUUGAAAACACAUACAAUUUCAUUCACAUUAUUGACCUAGGGUUUGCGAGCUCGGAGUAUCCGGGACUCCGAUCCACGAUCCGUCGAAUCGUAGACGAUCCAAGAAAUACAAGGUACAACAUACGUGAGUUUGAGUUCGAUCCAACGGUCCGAACAUAACAACCCCGGAAAUCGCACAAUAGGCAAAAUCCAUUCGAGGCACAAACGGUAACCAAAUUCUAAUCCGAAAACACCUAUGCGCUCGUGACAACUACAGGAAUGCACUAGGACCGAAAUCGGGUUGCUACAGGAACCCACGCACCGCCCCACGCGCCG